UAGCUUAGGUAGCACACCACAGUAAUGUAAGCCACAGCUUCGAAUGGCCAGGGAGGAUUUCUUGGAUAUAGUGAAUAUUCUGGAUUUAAAUGACUCGUUGUCUUUAAAAUGCAUUUUCAGCAUAAAAUUUGUUUUUGUGACAUCUAAUAUGAUCACUGGCAAAUUCGAAAACAUGGCCAGAAAUCACAUGCUGUUGAUUAUGAAUGUCAAGGCCGCCAUUUUUUGUAAACAUUGCUUUUAUACAGCAUGCACGGUUGUGUAGUUUGGUAUCAGAAUUAUUAGACGUAUUGCUUGUAGGACAUUGACGGCAGGAACUUGAAAUUAACUGUGGAGUGCUACCUUAUUGAAAAG